CAGAGUUCUACAGCCCAGCUGACUGCUCUCUGUGAUGUCCUCACGUUAUGCCAACUGUUACAAAGUAGUGAGGCACAGUGCCAGCUGUCUCUGCCACUAACAGCCUCCUGGUAGAUCUACAGCCACCUGACGGCUGUUCCUGGACCUGUGGCUGGGGGACAGCUGGGAAAGAGGAGUGGGGAGACAGAGAGCUAGAGUUGACACAUUCACUCUUGAACGGAGGGACGGCACGCAUACCUACUGUACCCUCUCAUGCUGAAGCCUUUUUGUUCUACAAGUCGUUACCACUAUCUGGACUGGAGCUUUAACACUACUGCUGUUUUCACCUUUCGGGGAACUGAGAACGACAGACAGACACCUUUUUGCUCACCUCUCCUUCAUUACAGGAGUAAAAGAGUGAGGCAGAUUUGCGUUAGGCAGGGGGGUGUAAUUUAUAGGUCUAGGAGGAGUGGUGUGUGUGUUUAGGUCGAAGGUAGAAUUACCUCAUUCUAGGGAAGCUCUGAGUGAUUGAGAUCAGACAGAGGGCUUCCAGCCGCUAACCCUAACUCUUAUCUGAGCUUCUUCUCUGUUCUGGGUCAGCCUCCUGUCCCCUCCUGCUCUGAACAGGCUCAGAGAGAGAGAAUCCUGUGAGAGAAAGAGAAUCUCUGCCAGAGAAUCACUGCGAGAGAGAGAAUCCCUGCGAGAGAAUCCCUGCGGAGAGAAUCCCUGCGAGAGAAUCCCUGCGAGAGAAUCCCUGCGAGAGAAUCCCUGCGAGAGAAUCGCUGAGAGAGAAUCCCUGCGAGAGAGAGAAUCGCUGCGAGAGAAUCCCUGAGAGAGAAUCCCUGAGAGAGAGAGAAUCCAUGCAAGAGAGAGAGAAUCCCUGCAAGAGAGCAGAGAAUCCCUGCGAGAGAGAGAGAGAGAGAAGAGUAAGACGCGCUCACGCUCCCAGAGAGGUGGAGACUUUAUUCCCGUGCUCUUCCUCUCUUUCCUCUCUGUUUUCCUCCUCCUUAUCUCUCUCUGUGUGUCAGGGUGUGGCAGCAGCAUUAUGCCUGCAGUGUUCCUGUUCCUGCUCAGAACCCUCCUUUCCAGUAGAAUGAUAGGAUCCCUGCUCCAGUUCCUCAGGAGAACUUUGUCCUCAACCUUCAGCCACGUGGGAGCCGCGCUGAGAUACGUCUGGGACAGGAUCAGCUCUCAGGAGUCUAAAGAAGCCAUCCUGGGCUGUGUGCUGUGUCUCCUUAACAUGCACAAGAAGGUGGAUCAGCCAGCAGCUGAGUCUCACUGAGUCACUCUCUUGGCUUUUCUUCCUCUUCAGAAAGAACAAGAGAAAGGACGAGAGAGAGAACAAGAGAGAGGGAGAGAGAACAAGAGAGAGGGAGAGAGAACGAGAGAGAGGAAGAGAGAACGAGAACAAGAGAACAAGAGACAGAGAACAAGAGAGAGAGAACAAGAGAGACUUGGGAAGAGAGGAAGCUCUCUCUAUUGAGCUCUCUCCACUUUCCUUUCUGUUCAUUCAACCUCCACUUGUUUACUGCCGGAGGGAGAGAGAGAACAAGAGAGGAAGAGAGGGUUUCAGACUUUUCAUUUCGAGCUCAUUUGGACUGUAGUAUUUUUCUGACUGGAGUGCUCAGAGCAAAGCGCCCAGAUUCAGGUGAAUGAGACUGUAUCGGACCGCUGGGCUGGUGCUGACUACCUCAGAAAGCAUCGUCAGGGAGGUCCAACCUUUCACCAUCGGGACCAGGCUGUCUGUCUCUGGAUCUGCUACCAGGUCCAGACUUCCCCCAGAUGCUCUCCUGCCAGAGUGGGACUCUGGAUAAUAUCACCCUGCAGACCAACCUCCAUGACCAAGUCUCCCUCUACCUCAGCCAGGUGCAGAUCCAUCAGGAAGAUUUCCAUCUCUGGAAGCCCUGAGGAGGAGGACAGCUCCUGGAGGAGACAGGAGGACUCAGAGCACAAGGUGGUCGUUGAGGAGGAGGACGGCUCCUGGAGGAGACAGGAGGACUCAGAGCACAAGGUGGUCGUUGAGGAGGAGGACGGCUCCUGGAGGAGACAGGAGGACUCAGAGCACAAGGUGGUCGUUGAGGAGGAGGACGGCUCCUGGAGGAGACAGGAGGACUCAGAGCACAAGGUGGUCGUUGAGGAGGAGGACGGCUCCUGGAGGAGACAGGAGGACUCAGAGCACAAGGUGGUCGUUGAGGAGGAGGACGGCUCCUGGAGGAGACAGGAGGACUCAGAGCACAAGGUGGUCGUUGAGGAGGAGGACGGCUCCUGGAGGAGACAGGAGGAGUUAGACCACAGGGUGGUCAGUAUGGGACCAGGACCGGGAAGACCCCCCCUGUCACAGUGACCAGAAACAUAUAAAAACAUCAACUACAACAACAUCAGCAGCUCCAAGCCACAGCUUCCCAGGAUAGUGGGAGUUAGAAUAUUAAAGCUUCCCAGGAUAGUGGGAGUUAGAAUAUUAAAGCUUCCCAGGAUAGUGGGAGUUAGAAUAUUAAAGCUUCCCAGGAUAGUGGGAGUUAGAAUAUUAAAGCUUCCCAGGAUAGUGGGAGUUAGAAUAUUAAAGCUUCCCAGGAUAGUGGGAGUUAGAAUAUUAAAGCUUCCCAGGAUAGUGGGAGUUAGAAUAUUAAAGCUUCCCAGGAUAGUGGGAGUUAGAAUAUUAAAGCUUCCCAGGAUAGU
rnacentral:lncRNA from 1 species